CCUCUCUAUGAUUAAACACCCAAACAAAUAGUUAAUUUCCCAUGAUGAUAAGUUACUUCAUAAGGAGUGAACUUCACAGGAAAUAGAGAGUUUGAACCAAAAGGCUUCAUUAUACUUCUGUGCCAAGAUAUUUGAUUCUUUACAUUGUACAAGAUCAAAACAUCCAAAAGUAUAGAACUACUUAGAAAUUCAAAAACAGAUGAAGUAUUAAUGGGCGAAGACAAAAAUGACGUGGUUCUUCCUUCAUUCUCGUAUCUCUUUCCUUAUUUCUCAUAGUCCUCUCAAUUAUUGAAGAAAGUGGCGAGCUUGGUUUGUCAUAACCACAAGGGGUCUUGGAAGGAAAGAUAAGGCCACUAACCACCGUAGACCUUUCUUGCAAAGACUGUCCACUGUCCACCUUCAGCAUUUGCAUGGUAAGCUGGUAUUGAAAGAGGAAUGCAACUCCUAAUGAACUGUCACAACAAAAGAAGCGCAUCUCCAAAAACAAUGGUAUAAUUCUCCAGUUUGAAAAAUCAAAUCAAUAUAGCUUUUCAUGUGCUACAGACUAGAGGUAGAGUUCACAGACAGUUCUCAACUUAUAAGAAAAUAUGCUUAGAUUGGCGUUUGAAUACAGGCUGCACCAAGUUAUAGAGGCAAAUCACAGGUAGCCAAGUAUACAUUCAACUUGUGAACGUUAAAAUGAUGAGAUAAGAUGUUGUUCAAAGAUAAUAAUUUGAUAGUCUAGAGUAAUAAAUCUACCCCAACACAUUUGAUCCAAUGGAUCACAAAGUUCUGGCAAUAUCAUACUUUACAACAUGUAUAACAGUACAAGCAAAGGUCGUUGUGUAUCAGUACUGUCAGAUCAUUAGGGUCAACCCUAAUGCAAAAAAGUUGGAAGAUCUCCCUUCCUUUGCUAAAAGAUUUCUCCAGCAAUUAUUGACUGCCCUAAUCAGCAAGUCUAGUCUGGGUCCUUGGGGAGGCUACAUGACUCCACAUCACAUGCCGACCAACUAAUUAGAUGGUGAGCCAGCCAACUGUUCCUUUGUAAACUGUAAGCUUUAGAUUGAACGUCGCUUAGCUAGGAAAGGCAGAAUUUGAACUUGCUGGUGAAGACUUAAAAGCUCCCAAAGCUUCCAGGAAGAACCUCUUAUUGGGGACAAUACCAUUUCUGUCCAUAUUUUUUAGCAGUUUCUGUACGAGCUCCUUCAUGUUGACUUUAGUGUAGGCUUUAUAAACGCUUUUAUAUGUUGAUGAAUCAGGUAGCACCCCAACACUAUGUGCACUGUCAAAUAGUAAAUCUGCUCCCAUGGGCAAACCGUUCAUACAGUAAACAUCAAGCAUGGCAUUUAAGGUUGAAACUUUGAACUCCUUUCCAGAUUCAACCAUACCAUCUAAAAGAUCCCUAGCCUUGGAAACACAGUCACAAAAUCCAUAUAUCUCUCAUAUGUGACGAAGCUUCGUGUGCAUUUCAUUUUGGUCAUCUUCUGAAAAACACUCUUUGCUUUCUCUUUCUGCCCAGUGGUUUCUCUUUGGAAUGCAACAAACUCUUAAAAAACUUGCUCCAUCUUAUAAAAUUCUCGUUUCUUUCCAUAAGAGUCCAUCAGCAAAUUAAAUGUAAUAAAAUCAGGGUUACAUUGAUUACUUAUCAUCCAAGAAAGUAUAGAUUCCAUUUCUCUUAUCAUCCCAUUUUUUCCACAGGCAUCCAUCAGACAAUUAAACUAUAUAUAUCAAGGGAAACAAUGCUCUGGUCAAGAUCUUUAAACAAAGCAUUAACUUGGUUCACAUUUCCAGCUUGUGUGAUAUGAACUGCCUAACUCCGCUUAAAACUAACUCACAAGGUCUGGUUUGCAAACCCAUAUAUAUAACGCCUAGGACCUCCCGCAUAAACCGAUGUAGAACGCAUCAUUGAACAAAAGCUCUCAUCAGAAUAUUGUAAGUCGCAAUACUGAGCAUUCAUUUUCUCAAAGUCACAUUUGCUUCCAUACUUGCAAACUCUUAAUUAACGAGAUACAGUUAAAAAGAAGAAUAACCAAACCAAAUCUAACAAAUCUGUAUUUUAACACGAAAGACAAUAAUUGAAACAAAGGAGUCACAAAGUAUUACCUCAAGACACUGAAGCUACUUAUCACGCUUGCCCAGCUCUUGAAACAGAUAAAAACAGUGUUCAGUCAUGAGCACCCGAGCCAACUCUUCCGCCUCCGAUUUCUCGGUAAUGGGAACUGGUUUCUUCCUGGGUCGGACUGAGACACAGGAAAUGUGGGUCCGUGGAGAUUUUUCUGCAGACGCCAUGGAAGAGUAGGAUUGGGUAUUUGAGAAAAUUGCUGCGUGAAGAAAGAAGAGUUGAGCGCUGCUGAGUGUGAACAAGUGACAUUUCU
rnacentral:misc_RNA from 1 species